GUAAUAUAUAGAUAACGUGCCUCUUAGUCUGGGAUAGCCAUUGGAAACGAUGAUUAAUACCGGAUACUCCUUCUAACUCUAAUGUUAGUCGGGAAAGUUUUUCGCUAAGAGAUCGGUCUAUAUCCCAUCAGUUAGUUGGUAAGGUAACGGCUUACCAAGGCAAUGACGGGUAGCGGGUUUGAGAGGAUGAUCCGCCACACUGGUACUGAGACACGGACCAGACUCCUACGGGAGGCAGCAGUGAGGAAUAUUGCACAAUGGGGGAAACCCUGAUGCAGCAACGCCGCGCGGAGGAUGACGCAUUUCGGUGUGUAAACUCCUUUUAUAAGAGAAGAAAAUGACGGUAUCUUAUGAAUAAGUCCCGGCUAACUCCGUGCCAGCAGCCGCGGUAAUACGGAGGGGACAAGCGUUAUUCGGAAUCACUGGGCGUAAAGGACGCGUAGGCGGGUUAUUAAGUCGGGUGUGAAAUCCAAUGGCUCAACCAUUGAACUGCAUUCGAAACUGGUGACCUAGAGUAUGGAAGGGGCAGGUGGAAUUAGUGGUGUAGGGGUAAAAUCCGUAGAUAUCACUAGGAAUACCGAAAGCGAAGGCGACCUGCUGGGACAUUACUGACGCUGAGGCGUGAAAGCGUGGGGAGCAAACAGGAUUAGAUACCCUGGUAGUCCACGCCCUAAACGAUGAAUGCUAGUCGUCGGGGAGCUUGUCUCUUCGGUGAUGCACUUAACAGAUUAAGCAUUCCGCCUGGGGAGUACGGUCGCAAGAUUAAAACUCAAAGGAAUAGACGGGGACCCGCACAAGUGGUGGAGCAUGUGGUUUAAUUCGAAGAUACGCGAAGAACCUUACCUAGCCUUGACAUUGAUUGAAUCUUUCAGAGAUGAGAGAGUGCCUUUCGGGGAACAUGAAAACAGGUGCUGCACGGCUGUCGUCAGCUCGUGUCGUGAGAUGUUGGGUUAAGUCCCGCAACGAGCGC
rnacentral:rRNA from 1 species